rnacentral:lncRNA from 1 species
CAGAUUGAACAGCAAAGAAAUCCAUGAGAAAAAACCCAUAAAUUGCUCUAAUAAUCAACACUGCUUGAUUAUCCCUAGCGUGUGAGUUUUUAACUAGGGUAUGGGUGUCUUGUAAACUGUAAUUUUGACUUGGAACCCAGAAACGGUUUUGUCGCUUAGUGAACACUAAACUACAAAACCCUAUUAAAAACUUCCCAUUUCUUACAUGGAGACGCCAUUUGUGGUUGACAGAAAGUAUUCUCGGACCAAUCAACCCAGUGAUCGAGACAUAGCUUUCCAUAUAUUGAUAUUUAUUUAUAAUCAUUUUCGUAUUUCAUUUCAGCUCCUGUUAUCAUAAUCACUUAUUGAUGUGCAUAGUUCUGAUUUUUGAAGAAUAGAGGAGCCGGGAUCAUCCCCGCGGGCUAUAGCAAUUUUUUCAAAGGAAAAUUGUACAGUUCUCCUAUUCUUUUUAAAAUGUACACCAAUCUUUUUGUAGGUAAUUUUAAAUUUGAU